GGGAGAGGAGAGGUGUCAGGCGGGGAGGAGAGGAGGGGCAGUGGUGAGGUGAGUGAGGAGGAAGCCAUAGAGGGGCAUCGCCUAGGAGAGGAGAGGAGGGGUAGCGUCUACAAAGCUGCACUUCUGUUAAUAUCUCAAUGGAAGAAUGACAGCCAGGAUGACGGCCAUGUCAAACAUGAGGAUGGCAAGACCCGCAAAGUUGACAACAAACGCUUUGCUCAUAUAGCCAUUGAUAUGGAAGAUGAACCUUGUUAG
rnacentral:lncRNA from 1 species